GGGCCCGCACAAGCGGUGGAGUAUGUGGUUUAAUUCGAUGCAACGCGAAGAACCUUACCAGGGUUUGACAUCCUGCGAAUCUCUUGGAAACAGGAGAGUGCCUUCGGGAACGCAGUGACAGGUGGUGCAUGGCUGUCGUCAGCUCGUGUCGUGAGAUGUUGGGUUAAGUCCCGCAACGAGCGCAACCCACGUCUUUAGUUGCCAGCAUUUAGUUGGGCACUCUAGAGAGACUGCCGGGGUCAACUCGGAGGAAGGUGGGGAUGACGUCAAAUCAUCAUGCCCCUUAUGUCUUGGGCUUCACGCAUGCUACAAUGGCCGGUACAGAGGGCUGCAAUACCGCAAGGUGGAGCGAAUCCCAAAAAGCCGGUCUCAGUUCGGAUUGAGGUCUGCAACUCGACCUCAUG
rnacentral:rRNA from 1 species